GUGAAGGCACACACAACAGCCAUGGUUCGUAUUUGCUGUGUGGUCCGCUGCAAUGUUUGAUCGCACGACCGGCAAGAGAAUAAGCUUGAAAAGGGUUUGUCUUUUCAUUCUUUCCCAACCUGGAAGCAACAUGAGGCAGCUCGUGUAUCGAUGUUACCAAACAAAGGCGUCUAGCCUGGAUAGCAGCUGUGAGACCAGCUGAUAUCCAGUUCUUUUCCAUCUCCAAAUAUCUCAUUUCAUUCCGGUAAGUUCUAAAUAUGUUCAUAUCACUCUUUAUAGCCUAUUAGUUUUAUUUUCUAUGCGCUCUGAGCUCAUAGCAAAUUAGAACAAACAUCCUACGGAGUGAUUUUGCAGAACUACCUUCUAUUUAUAGAGUUGCUAAUUAUUUGGCAUUAUUGCAGCAAACCAGCCUAUGAAAUGGAUGAAACAUCAUGACUGGGUUCCAGCGCUACACAAGGGACCUGCUUCAAACAUACCACCAUGCCAAUCAGAUUACUUCUUCCAUGUGAGGGUGAAGAGCUGACUUUGCUACCCGCACAGAGCGUUUCUGACAGUUGGGUGCUGCUUAUACAAUAGAGAAAAGCAACAAUACAGUGUGUUUCUCUGCUCCAAGAAAUCCGAGGGCCUUUCACAAGCUGAAAACAGUUUGUAUCCGCACUCUGAGUGUCAUGGUCCCCGCACCUCGCCAGCUGACAGCAGUCAGGCGCUAUGUUUUGUGUUCUUUAUUCUUCUCUCUUGCCUCUGCUCUUUUUCUCUCUCGUCCUCUCCCUCUCUCUUUCUCCUGCCGGGGCGGAGCUCAGUAUGGGCUCCCGCCCCUGGCCCA